AUGCAGAAGAUCAUAACUGCAGCUACAAUCAACAGAGGUCCAGCAGCAGCAGAAAUCAGCACUAUGAGAGAAACUGAGCCUGUAAUUAAAAUACAAUAAUGAGAGAGUCACAUGACCCACAUUCACCACUGAACACAACAAUGAACAAUUCUCCUGUGAUGAUGAUGAUGAUGAUGAACAUUGUGAAGAGUUACUGAUGAUGACAGGAACAGACAGACGAGCUGAAAACAGGAUAAAGUGUAAUGGAAACAAAUCUCAUCAACAAUCUUCUUCUCGGUUCAGUGUGCUGAUAUCUGUCUGUGCAGGAAGAAGCUCAGAUAGUCCCAGGACAAACGUUCAACUGCCGAAGUCCAUCGUAUCAGAUAUGUCUUUGGAGAGACGUAUUUGCGUCUGACCCUGAUCACUUGUCACCAAAAUAGUCGUCAGAAUAUAUGCUUCAAGCUUGUGUCCAUAUGUGGAAACUGUCUAAGUUUAUCUAGGUUUUGGAACCAAUCAGAAUUUUGCUGACCUAAGCAUUGAUACAUUUAGUAUCUUCUGUCAAGAAUAUAAUUGUUGGUGAUUUUGAGUUGUACGCAGAGCAGCCUACGAACUCCAUCGAGAGUGUUGAAGCUGACUUCUGCUGAUGAAACUGCAAACUAUUUUCUUCAGUAAAAUUAUGAUUAAUUGACCGAAUCUCUGACUCCUGGUCUUCAUUGCGACACACACGGUCAUUGGGUUUUAACUGUACAUUCCCCUACAUUUGCAUUUACAAUAGCAUGCAAAGGCACGAAACAGAAUGAAAUGCAUGAUAUAUGAACAGACAGACGUAUAAUGUGAAUGUGUAUAUAUUAGCAGAUAAAAAUGAUCUAAUCUAAACUGAUUGAGCAGCUUUAUCACUCUAAAAAAAAACAUUACAGCAUAAACAUGCUUUUAUAACUUACCAAUCUGACCGCACCAGCACAAACAGAACAAAACAAACAUGUGAAACAUUUUCUUUAGUUGUUCAGUGUCUGAUCUAAGAAGAAUAUCCGGUAAAAACACACACUGAUGUGCGAAUCCUCCCACAAUGGACCUCCUGUUCACACCUGCGUUUGCAUACUUCAUUAUGUUAUAGUUCAUCUGGCCCUUAUUAAGACUAAAUGUAUAUAUAUAUUUCUUUUUUACAGAUAGUUCUCAGACUAUUAAAUAGAAGAAUAAGAAGCUAAAGUAGAAGAAUAAUGAUAUCAGAAGAACUAUAGAAAAACUGAGCCUAACAUUUGUGAAUUAAAAUGGUUGUAUAUAAAUACGUUUUUUGAUUGCUUGUGAAAAAAAAAAAAAAAAAAAAAAGUACAGAGUUAAAACCAUUUGCCAGGAUUGCCAGAGGUUCAUCUUCUGAGUCAAACUGAAACCUGCUGUGGUCGGCUUUCAGAAAUGUGGUUUGAUCUACUGCGUGGACAAACCUGUUGUAUGUUUAGUUUGUAGGUGAAAGCCUUCUUCCUGUCCUGCUGUUAUGAGCAGCUUUUUAAGACCUUCUGUUUUAAUCUACAGAAAGAAUUAUGAUGAGAAACUGCUUCUUACACAGAGGGAGGGAAACAAUAACAAAAUGGUCAUAUGUAACUUACAAUUACUUUUGUGAUUGUCAGUUGUUUGGUUUUGAAAGAAACUGAUACUAUUAAGCUUGUACUUGGUUGACUUAUUACAGGUAAACAUUUCCCUUUGUAUGGACACAUUAUUCAAUUAUAUUAACAAACAAAAAAUGUUUUCCCCACAUUUUAUUGUAAAAUAAAUAAAUACUAUAGCUGUUGUUAGCGAACUCU
ensembl:lncRNA